UUAAAGGGCUGCAGUAUAUUGACUGUACAAAGGUAGCAUAAUCAUUAGUCAUUUAAUUGAUGACUUGUAUGAAGGAUUGGAUGAAAUAUAAACUGUCUCUUAAUUAUAUUUAGAAUUUAAUUUUUUAAUUAAGAAGUUAAAAUAAAUUAGAAAGACGAGAAGACCCUGUAGAGUUUUAUAAAUAAAAUUAAUUGAGAUUAUAUGUAAAAGUUAAAAUUAAGAUUAAUUUAUUUAUUUUGUUGGGGUGACAGAAAAAUAUAAAAAACUUUUUAUAUAUUUAAAACGUUGAUAAGUGGUUAAAUGAUCCAAUAUUAUUGAUUAUAAGAAAAAAUUACCUUAGGGAUAACAGCGUAAUUUUUUUUUUUAGUUCAUAUAAAAAAAAAAGUUUGCGACCUCGAUGUUGGAUUAAGAUAAAAUUUAAAUGCAGAAG
rnacentral:rRNA from 1 species